AAUCGCAGGUGCCAUUCUUCAAGCGGUAGGUGGCCGCGCGCCCUCUAGCGGUCGUGAUUGAAAGAGCGGCCACGCCGCACACUGCGGAUGUUGAGAGAGCAUCUACUUCUGAGGACUACUGCCCAUGAAGGGACCUAGAGGGGAUAGUGACAACAUCAUGCCUCUCACAUAGCCCUAACUUUUGUGACACACGCAAACGUCAUCGCAGAGCUUUGACAACACAGCAACAGUCGCAAUCUGUAACAGAGGUAGACAUCCAGUUGGACCAGCACCAUUUGUGGAAGAUACUGUCUUUUUUCCAUUGAAUGGUUUUGGCUUCUUUGUCAAAAAUUAAGUAUUCAUAGAGUGAGAUUUAUGCAUCCUUGCUUUGGUCCUCCUUACUACUUAACUUCUUUGGGAAAACAACAGAGCCAACUAAACAGGACCUAGAGUGGUUUGUGAGACUGAAGCAUCAACCAAAAACCAUGCAUGAACUGGACCGAGGCCUCCUACAAAGAUGUA